rnacentral:rRNA from 1 species
CUGACGAGUGGCGCACGGGUGAGUAACGCGUGGGAACCUGCCCUGGAGUGGGGAACAACCGCUGGAAACGGCGGCUAAUACCGCAUACGCCCUUAGGGGGAAAGCUUUAUGCGCUCUAGGAUGGGCCCGCGUCGGAUUAGCUUGUUGGUGAGGUAAUGGCUCACCAAGGCUACGAUCCGUAGCUGGUCUGAGAGGAUGAUCAGCCACACUGGGACUGAGACACGGCCCAG